GACGAACCGUGCGAACGUUGUUCGGAAUCACUGGGCUUAAAGGGCGCGUAGGCGGGUUCGAAAGUCUGUGGUGAAAGCCUCCAGCUUAACUGGAGAAGUGCCAUGGAUACUGCGAACCUGGAGGAGGGUAGGGGCAUCUGGAACGCUGGGUGGAGCGGUGAAAUGCGUUGAUAUCCAGCGGAACUCCGGUGGCGAAGGCGAGGUGCUGGACCCUUUCUGACGCUGAGGCGCGAAAGCUAGGGGAGCAAACGGG
rnacentral:rRNA from 1 species